rnacentral:lncRNA from 10 species
AUGAAGCCGCAAACCAAAAGACCUAGAUGACAAGGAUGAGAUCAAGAAUGCACAGUGGUGUGAUUGGAUGAGGCAGGAUCUUAACAGCCUUCCUGGAAUGAGGGAUCCACCAUAUCAGAGAAUCACAGAGCUGUGGACCAGAACCAGAGGAUGGCAGAGGUAAUUCUGUCAACUCUGGUAGAACACUCUGGGGUAUCUCCUCUACCAAUUCAGGAUGCAUCCCACCUUGUACCUCUGAUUUUCUUCUCCCUGGUUGUAAUCUGAGUUCCUCAGGUGCCUUACGCAUUGUUUUGCUAUCAAAGUAGAGAAGACUGUCUUCUAUGGUCACCGCUGACCCACUGGCCCCUACAAACCUGUUUCUCUGGCCUUGAGCAGUGGCCCCGGUCUUGUUGCAUCUUCUGCUGAUAGUGAUAUCACCACACGGCAUCCAGCUGUUAGGUCCAUGCUCCGCUGUGAUCCUCUGCCUCCAUGCCAGACCUUGUGUCUGUCUGCUCAGCCACUUUUCUGCACCUCUCAGAGUGUUCAGGAAUGCCUGUGUGCUUUUCCCCGAAACUCUGGGAGGCUAACCUCAGACUUGCCUGCAUAGACAUCUCAGCACCUGGGAACAGAGAAAGAAGGCUUUUAGCUAAGUGGACACAGAGAAAUUUUGUCAAACUCCACUGAAUCAUGACUAGCUUUGACUCUUCAUAUUGUGUCUCACCCAAUGAGUAAACUACAUGUGAAGUUGAUUUUGAGACUUUGGUGUUACUUUAGCUAUGAGUCUCUCUUUACUUCUAUCAAAGGACCAGAAAUAACAACUCUUUCAGAACUCUCAUCAUUCAAGAUUCCUGCUGUUUUCCUUGAAUCCAAAUCAAAAGACAUUGUUUGGCACAUAACCCAUGUAUAAUAAAAGCUAAUCCAUCAACCUGACAGACAGCAUAAAUGAAAAUUAG